GAUGAACGCUGGCGGCGUGCCUAAUACAUGCAAGUAGAACGCUGAAGGAAGGAGCUUGCUCUUUCCGGUUGUGUUGCAAACGUGUGAGUAACGCGUAGGUAACCUGCCUGGUAGCGGGGGAUAACUAUUAGAAACGAUAACUACUAUCGCAUAACAGCAGAUGUUGGAUGAUAUCUACUUAAAAGGUGCAAUUGCACCACUACCAGAUGGACCUGCGUUGUAUUAGCUAGGUGGUGAGCUAACGCCUCACCAAGGCGACGAUACAUAGCAGACCUGCGAGGGGGAUCGGCGUAGCUGGUACUGAGACACGGUCCAGACUCCUACGAGAGGCAGCAGUAGGGAAUCUUCGGCAAUGGACGGAAGUGUGACCGUGCAACGCCGGGUGAGUGAAGAAGGUAUUCGGAUCGUAAAGCUCUGUUGUAAGAGAGGAACGUGUGUGAGUGUGGAAAAGUCAGACAGUGACGGUAUCUUACCAGAAAGGGACGGCUAACUACGUG
rnacentral:rRNA from 1 species